GGGGGCGCUUUUGGUUUCGACGGGGAUGAUGUUACGUUUGAGAAGCGAGUCGAGGGAACCUGUGGACCCGCGUUAAAAAACUAUAGGCCUUAAAAAUAAAGGAUAACGAAAAUAAUUUAGCUUUAGCUGCGUAGUCAGCUAACGUCAGCCUGAGAGUCCCGCGACUCAGAGUCUGGCGUCGACAGCGGGGAACCGAGCCUUACAAAGCUUUGAGUAAGGAACGGAAUUUAUGAAGCUACUGAAGUGAAAAGCUUGUUUGUAGGCGUUUCAUGGAGGGAAUGUUAAAAUACAAACUGCACUCGGAGAUGCUUAAAUGAAACCAUUUUCGGACAGGGGUUCGAUUCCCCUCGCCUCCACUA
rfam:Clostridium acetobutylicum ATCC 824, complete genome.